GAGUUUGAUCCUGGCUCAGGAUGAACGCUAGCGGGAGGCCUAACACAUGCAAGCCGAGCGGUAUUGUUUCUUCGGAAAUGAGAGAGCGGCGUACGGGUGCGGAACACGUGUGCAACCUGCCUUUAUCUGGGGGAUAGCCUUUCGAAGGGAAGAUUAAUACUCCAUAAUAUAUUGAACGGCAUCGUUUAAUAUUGAAAGCUCCGGCGGAUAGAGAUGGGCACGCGCAAGAUUAGCUAGUUGGUGAGGUAACGGCUCACCAAGGCAAUGAUCUUUAGGGGGCCUGAGAGGGUGAUCCCCCACACUGGUACUGAGACACGGACCAGACUCCUACGGGAGGCAGCAGUGAGGAAUAUUGGUCAAUGGGUGCAAGCCUGAACCAGCCAUCCCGCGUGAAGGACGACUGCCCUAUGGGUUGUAAACUUCUUUUGUAUAGGGAUAAACCUUUCCACGUGUGGAAAGCUGAAGGUACUAUACGAAUAAGCACCGGCUAACUCCGUGCCAGCAGCCGCGGUAAUACGGAGGGUGCAAGCGUUAUCCGGAUUUAUUGGGUUUAAAGGGUCCGUAGGCGGACUUAUAAGUCAGUGGUGAAAGCCUGUCGCUUUACGAUGGAACUGCCAUUGAUACUGUAAGUCUUGAGUAUAUUUGAGGUAGCUGGAAUAAGUAGUGUAGCGUGAAAAUGCAUAGAUAUUACUUUAGAACACCAUUUGCGAAAGGCAGGUUACCAAGAUAUAACUGACGCUGAGGGACGAAAGCGUGGGGAGCGAACAGGAUUAGAUACCCUGGUAGUCCACGCCCUAAACGAUGAUAACUCGAUGUUGGCGAUAGACAGCCAGCGUCCAAGCGAAAGCGUUAAGUUAUCCACCUGGGGAGUACGCCCGCAAGGGUGAAACUCAAAGGAAUUGACGGGGGCCCGCACAAGCGGAGGAGCAUGUGGUUUAAUUCGAUGAUACGCGAGGAACCUUACCUGGGCUUAAAUGGGGAACGACAGCAGCCGAAAGGUUGCCUUCUUCGGACGUUCUUCAAGGUGCUGCAUGGUUGUCGUCAGCUCGUGCCGUGAGGUGUCGGGUUAAGUCCCAUAACGAGCGCAACCCUUAUCGUUAGUUGCCAGCGGGUCAAGCCGGGGACUCUAGCGAGACUGCCACCGUAAGGUGUGAGGAAGGUGGGGAUGACGUCAAAUCAGCACGGCCCUUAUGUCCAGGGCUACACACGUGUUACAAUGGCCGAUACAAAGGGCAGCUACCCCGUGAGGGGAUGCUAAUCUCUAAAGUCGGUCUCAGUUCGGAUCGAAGUCUGCAACCCGACUUCGUGAAGCUGGAUUCGCUAGUAAUCGCAUAUCAGCCAUGAUGCGGUGAAUACGUUCCCGGGCCUUGUACACACCGCCCGUCAAACAAUGGAAGCUGGGGGUACCUGAAGUCUGUAACCGCAAGGAGCGGCCUAGGGUAAAACUAGUAACUGGUGUUAAGUCGUAACAAGGUAACCGUA
rnacentral:rRNA from 1 species